UAACUUUAAAAUAUCAGAAGCAUGGUCCACAGUAACUCAAGAGCAGGGUUUUCAGUGUAGCUGCCCCGUUCUGUGGAACCACAUCCCUGUCGAUAUAUGACAGGCUCCCACUAUCUGCACUUUUCAGAAACAACUUGAAGACACCUUGGUUUUGACAAGCUUUUCCAGCUUGAUGAAAAGGUCUCUGCCUGAAGUAUAAAAACCAAUACAAAAUAAACACCUGUCUUAAGUUAAUUUUUUGUACUGUUUUAAAAAUUAUUUUUCACUGUUUUAUACUAUGUUUGUAAAUCAUGUGGCACGUGUAAAAGGUGCUUCAUGCAUUUAAGAUUAAGUUCUUCAGAAAGAACUUCCAAGAGCAAUAAGUGGAGAACAGACCCAGUGCAUAUCUGAGCAGGCUUUGCGUUGAUAAGUCAUCUAAAUGUGUUUGAGCAGGGCUUAAGAAACAAAGGCAUUCCUACAAAGAUGUGGAUCAUGGCCUUCUUCCCACUCUCUAUUGGUUGCACCUGUAUCCAGACAAGUGCCUUGUGGGAGCCGGGUCAGAUUGUGAGGGUAACAGACUGGAACUUUGGAACAAGGUGCUAAUAUCACUGUGUUAAAAAAAGGAUAUUAUGAUUGUACAAAGACAAAAGGAAAUUGAUUUGCACAGCCAACCUAAACCUACAGUGACAACUGAUGUGGUGAAUACUGACCUUUUUAUUUGGGGGGGCGGGGAGAAUCUCUGCAACACUCAUUCCAUCUGAAGCUUACUUAACUGCUGUGCCUUAGAAUGUGCCCAAAUAGAAUUAAUUAGAGACUCUAGUUGGGGCACACAAUUUUUCUCGAGUGUUUCAUUCUGACUUUAUUGCUUUCUUUGGUUUUAUUUUCUGACAGGCCUUUUUAAAAAAGGAUCUAAACACAAGCACCAUUAAAAGAAAUAAAUUUCAGUAGCUAUAAAACAAGCUUACAUUUUUAAUCGCAGCAGCUUAAAUGCUGUUACCAGACAUAAUUAUAAACAAUCCAUAUGCUAAAGGCAGUUUAUGUAAACUAAGGCUCAUAUAUAUUAACUUAAUCAGCUAGAUGUAGAUCUUGAAACUAAGCAAACUUACCUGGGAAGCACUGAAGCUUGUUUAAGGUCAGAGCAUUAGAUUUUAUUUACAGCAUUUGCCAAAAACACAUCAUUAAAUGUAAAAAGACAACCAUGCCUGGCAUUUAAGUUACUAAUGUCCCCAGACUUCCCUAAUGUCAAUUUCCCUCCUCCCCCUUGCAAGGAAGGUUAAGGGCAAUGGGGGGGGGGAGAUUUCAAGUAAUGAAUUGUCAGGCAAAGAUUUGAAAAUAAAUCUGCUAAUAUCAUCAUGUUGUUAUAUGUUGCUAGCUAUACUUUUUCCAGUGGCGCGCGCACACACACAUGCACACACAUAUAUACAUAUACAGUGGUACCUCUAGAUAAGAACAGGAUCCAUUCCGAGCCCCGUUCCCAUCUAGAAGCAAACAUAACUAGGGACAGCACAUCUGCGCACGCACACGUCGCUUUUCGCCACUUCUGCGCAUGCGCGUGACGUCAUUUUGAGUGUCUGCGCAAGCGGCGAAACCCGGAAGUAACGCACUCCGUUACUUCCGGGUUGCCGCGGAGCGCAACUCGAUUGCACUCAACCUGAAGCGCAUUCAACCAGAGGCCCAAGGUAUGACACUGUGUGUGUGUGUGUGUGUGUGUAUAUAUAUAUAUAUACAUACACACACACACAGUGGUACCUCAGGUUAAGUACUUAAUUCGUUCCGGAGGUCCGUACUUAACCUGAAACUGUUCUUAACCUGAAGCACCACUUUAGCUAACGGGGCCUCCUGUUGCCGCCGUGCCACCGGAGCACGAUUUCUGUUCUUAUCCUGAUGCAAAGUUCUUAACCUGAAGUACUAUUUCUGGGUUAGUGCAGUGUGUAACCUGAAGCGUAUGUAACCUGAGGUACCACGGUAUAUAUAUGAAUGUUCAAGUAAUAUGUUGUGCUCCAGAGCUCAAUACUCUGUAAGGAGUGUGUUGGUUCCAUCAUCUGUUUCACUUUCACAUAUGUUAAAUGAGCUAAGGUCAAUGAUAAUAUUUAUCUUUUGGUCUUAUUUCAGUAGUAGAAAUUGCAUGCAGAAGGGCCCAAGUUCAGUCCCUAGCAGCUCCAAGUAUGGCCGGAAGAGACUCCUGUCAGAAGUUCUGGAAAGGUCCUGUCAGUCAGCGUAGAAAAUACUGAGCUAAAUUGACCAGUGGUCUGACUCAGUAUAAGGCAGCUUCCCCCUUUCCUGAUUUGUCUAUUUAAUGUGGAACACAAGUCCUCUGGGCCAUGCCACAUUUAUGUUCUAUAAAGUAACUAGCACAUUUGUGACACUAUGUUAAUACAGCAAAAGCAUAUCCUUUACCUGCCUCCCCAGAAGCCCCACUGACUUCAAUGGAAAUUACACCCAGUUAAGUGUAUAAGAUUGCAGCCUUAAUUACCUCACUUCCUCUUUUUACCUCUGCCUUUUCUUGCUUAUUGUUUUUUAAAGGAAUUACAAGCAAACCUUUGCUUUCAAUUACACAUGGCUUCAAGGAACAUUCAAAGUUAUUCAGAGCAUCUCAAACCUGGUUAAAAGGAGUCACAUCUCUGAUCGUGUAAUACAGACUUCCUGCAAAGUCUGGGAAUUUUCUCAUGGGUAUCAAAAGCAAACCCAAAAUAACUCCCCCCAUCUGUUUUAAUUUUGCAGACUCCCUUCAGAACUGUGAACUAAAUUGUCCUUUCAGCGUUACCUAGGGUAAAUCUAGGAAUAUUUCCUACAAGCUUGUGGCAGAGACAUGUCAGUGCAAUUUGGCUUGAUGGUAAAUGGUAAAAACUUUCUGGCCAAAGAAAAAAUGCUUAAUUGUAGCAAGUAAUCUCCUAGCAAAUUAACCUAGAUUCAAAGUGACGUUCCUGGCAUCUGUUAUUCUGCAGCAGGGGAAGGAAUUUCUACAG